rnacentral:rRNA from 1 species
GACGAACGCUGGCGGCGUGCUUAACACAUGCAAGUCGAACGGAAAGGCCCUGCUUUUGUGGGGUGCUCGAGUGGCGAACGGGUGAGUAACACGUGAGUAACCUGCCCUUGACUUUGGGAUAACUUCAAGAAACUGGGGCUAAUACCGGAUAGGAGCUCCUGCUGCAUGGUGGGGGUUGGAAAGUUUCGGCGGUUGGGGAUGGACUCGCGGCUUAUCAGCUUGUUGGUGGGGUAGUGGCUUACCAAGGCUUUGACGGGUAGCCGGCCUGAGGGGGUGACCGGCCACAUUGGGACUGAGAUACGGCCCAGACUCCUACGGGAGGCAGCAGUGGGGAAUAUUGCACAAUGGGCGGAAGCCUGAUGCAGCAACGCCGCGUGCGGGAUGACGGCCUUCGGGUUGUAAACCGCUUUCGCCUGUGACGAAGCGUGAGUGACGGUAAUGGGUAAAGAAGCACCGGCUAACUACGUG